CAGCCUGAUGGCCUUGACUUUUCUUUUUCUGUCUUUUUUCCUUCCUGUAGAGGAGUUUUCUUAGACACCAUCCUUCCCCGUCAAGAUGACAAUGGCGUCAGGCCAACCAUUGGCCAGCGUGUGCGGCUCAGUCAGGGAGACAUAGCUCAAGCCCGGAAGCUGUACAAAUGCCCAGCGUGUGGGGAGACCCUGCAGGACACAACGGGAAACUUUUCUGCACCUGGUUUCCCAAAUGGGUACCCAUCUUACUCCCACUGCGUCUGGAGGAUCUCGGUCACCCC
rnacentral:lncRNA from 1 species